rnacentral:miRNA from 1 species
AUAGGAAAAAAAAGCCCUA